rnacentral:rRNA from 1 species
UGCAGAAUCCCGUGAACCAUCGAGUCUUUGAACGCAAGUUGCGCCCGACGCCUUCGGGCUGAGGGCACGCCUGCCUGGGCGUCACGCAUCGCGUCGCCCCCUACACCAAUUUGGUGAGGGGGCGGAUAAUGGCAUCCCGUUAGCUCGGUUUGCCCAAAAAGGAUCCCUCAUCGAUGGAUGUCACAACCAGUGGUGGUUGAAAGAUCAUUGGUGCCGUUGUGCUUCACUCCGUCGCAUGCUUGGGCAUCGUUACAAAACAAUGGUGCUAACGCGCCUUCGACCGCGACCCCAGGUCAGACGGGACUACCCGCUGAGUUUAAGCAUAUCAAUAAGCGGUGGAGAAGAAACUUACAAGGAUUCCCCUAGUAACGGCGAGCGAACCGGGAAUAGCCCAACUUGAGAAUCGGGCGGCCACGCCGUCCGA